rnacentral:misc_RNA from 1 species
CUGAGUUAUCCAACUCCCAAACCCCUGUGAACAUACCUAUGUUGCUUCGGCGGGCCGUCCCGCGGCGCGCCCAACGUGGCGUGACCCGGACCCAGGCGCCCGCCGGGGAACCAAACUCUUGUCUUCCAGUGUCUCCUCUGAGUGGCAUAAGCAAAAUAAACA